GCUUAUGUCAUGCACCCGAGCCUUAUUAAGAUCGGGAUUUUCCACUUUCUUUUUUUACUUUCGCGGUUAAAGUAAGAAUGACUAGAUUGGAGAGAAUAAAAGGAGCUGAGGCCAAGAUAUCCUCUAGUCUAGACACCGAGAGGUUCUCAACCGAUCAAGACGUUUGCUGUUACUUUGGGAAAUGAAGCCACGCCAGGUUUCAAUGAAAACCCUUGUCAAGAAAGCCAAGAAGAGAAAGCUGAAGUACAUCGGAGCUACCAAGAAUGCUAGUGCCAGAUGGAAACAACAUAAGCAAAGAUUUCCACGAGCGAGAAUGAUUUUCGCUCCCACACUCAAUAUGAAGGCCCGUGAGAACAGCCUUUUCAAGAUUGCAAGGGGAAUACUUAAUAAACAGAAACGAAGCAACGCCCCCAAGAAACCGGGGAAUAUUUACGGGAUUCCAAGAAACAGAAAAUAGACCAUGAGGAGUCCUGUCACGAAUGUCACGAGCUUCACCAACUUUCUUCGCUGCAUUCUGUGGUAGUGAAGACAAUAUCUACAAGCUCGACAGCCAAAAUGGUCUACAAGAGUAAAUAAUUUCAUAUGACUGAGCUGAACUCAACACCCACGUCAUGGUGACUACACAACCUCAAGAAUCAGAGACGUUAAAAACUAAACAUUUAAAGGCUACUUUCAUUUUCUCAAACUUAAAACUGUUCCUAAGAAGCUAAUUUAGAAAUGUUCUGCAAAAGUCCUUCCGAUGUCAUUUAUGUGUUGCACAUAUGCGUGCACAGAAAAUGUGGUUCAUACUGAAAGUCUGGCUUUAAGCAGUUUUGUCUUAUUUAAAACAAUUUUAUUUUUUAAAAUUUUCUAUUAAAAAUUCGUUCUGUGCACCAUGUUUUUAUAAAACUUAUUAUCUAAAAAGAUUUUAAGCUUAGAGUUGUUUAAAAUUAGGAAUGUGUUAUGCAUCAACUAUCCACAGGUUUUAUCGUGGAGACGGCUACAUUUGUUAAAUUUGCUCUUGUAGACUUUCAAAUGAGAGGGAAGAAUAAAAAGUUUUUCUCUUCCUAA